rnacentral:rRNA from 1 species
GACGAACGCUGGCGGCGUGCCUAAUACAUGCAAGUAGAACGCACAGUUUAUACCGUAGCUUGCUACACCAUAAACUGUGAGUUGCGAACGGGUGAGUAACGCGUAGGUAACCUGCCUGGUAGCGGGGGAUAACUAUUGGAAACGAUAGCUAAUACCGCAUAAUAUUGAUUAUUGCAUGAUAAUUGAUUGAAAGAUGCAAUUGCAUCACUACCAGAUGGACCUGCGUUGUAUUAGCUAGUAGGUGAGGUAACGGCUCACCUAGGCGACGAUACAUAGCCGACCUGAGAGGGUGAUCGGCCACACUGGGACUGAGACACGGCCCAGACUCCUACGGGAGGCAGCAGUAGGGAAUCUUCGGCAAUGGACGAAAGUCUGACCGAGCAACGCCGCGUGAGUGAAGAAGGUUUUCGGAUCGUAAAGCUCUGUUGUAAGAGAAGAACGGGUGUGAGAGUGGAAAGUUCACACUGUGACGGUAUCUUACCAGAAAGGGACGGCUAACUACGUG